AGUGGGGCCGAUCAGUCUCCUUCCCAAACGGGGCCAUGUGGCUCCAUUUAGGAGAGAGAUCGGCCCGCACUGCAUUGGCAAUCCAGCAGGGGCCGCUCUCUCUUCCAAAUGGAGCCGUGUGGCCCCAUUUGGGAGGGAGACCACAUCCCUCGCAUCUGACAUCAGACACGGGGGCGUGGCGGUAUAGUUUUUUAUUUUAACUGUUAAUUGAUUUUAAUUAUUUUUAUUUUAAUGUAAACCACCCUGAGCCAUUUUUGGAAGGGCGGCAUAGAAAGAAAGAAAGAAAGAAAGAAAGAAAGAAAGAAAGAAAGAAAGAAAGAAAGAAAGAAAGAAAGAAAGAAAGAAUAAAUAAAAUAAAUAAAUAAAUAAGUAAAUAAAUAAAUAAAUGGCUAACAGUGACACUCCUGGCUGCUAGACUAUGGUUUACAAAGAGGUGGUACUAUGGCUCACUGUGAUAUGAAAUAUAGCCAUAAUGAAAAAUUAUCCCAUCAAAACUGACCAUUAAGGGAGAAAACAGAAGCGAAGCCGGAGUUCAGACACAAGUUUCUGCUUGUGAAUCAUACAAAAUGUUCAUAUUUCUUCUGCACUGUCCACAUUUCCUGGUUUUUGAGACUGAGAAAGCAUGAGAGGAAGAGGGUAACAUUUAACAUCAGAUGUGCCUCUCUGCCACUGACAAUGAUGUUCUAAGCAUCUUUCCUAUGUGUCAUUGAAAAGAAGACAGCUACUAAUUGAAUGAGCUGUGACUUCAAGUGUUUGCAGCCCUUUAAUAAUUCAUCUAACAUUGUGAGCUGUAAAAUACCAGCUUAAUGGAAAUGAUCCGAAAAAAGGAACUCAUCAGUGCUUUGUGCAGCCCAUAAUAAAAUGAAACUCCUUCUUGCUUUUGUGAUCAGAUAUGUCUGCUGUUGCUGCAGCUCCUCCUUCUACUGGCUUCCCCUGGCUCUCCAACCCUGCUGGGUUUUUUUCCAUAUCUGAACUGCCUCUUCCACCUUCCUUCAUGGAUGACAGACAGGAAGUGAGAGACACAAUCCCACUACUCCUCGAAAAAGCAGCUGAAUUGGGUGGGAGUGCAGGAGGGGAAUGGAGAAGACUGAGGACACCUUUGACGCACACUGUGGCUGGAUGAAGUGCUGCCUUUUGUGAUACAAUCUUUUCAAGUUAGCCUGAAGAAUCUUUAAAGAAUACAAUAAAAUCAACAGGAAAACUCACAAUUGUCAUAAAAACAUUAAAGUCGGUUGAGAUCAAUGACCUUUGGCAAAGGCCCUGCAACAACAAUAAGGCCAUGGACCUAUUCAUUUCCUCAAGAACAUUGCACAGAUAAGGUAUAUGUAUUUUGCUUGAAGGCACAUAUGAGAAAAAAGGCUUGAAGGAAAGAAAAAUGAAUUAUCACAUGGGACUGAAUGGUCUUAAGAACACUUUGGAUACGUUUCUUUCUCUGAAGAUAUAGGAAGAAUAUCUUGGCUUGAUCAGAGAUCUCUAAGGAGGAGCUAUUAAUCCUAAAACAAAAAAACAAAGAAAACACCACCCUGGGCUGGCUGUGGCUGCUCUUUGAGAACUGAUGUAAUCUAUUGCUGAUUUACUAGAGAGCUCUGCUAUUUCAGCUCUAAGGAUGUGCACAAGCCAAGGUUUGAGCACAGUUCAAGUGUGGGUGCUUUAUAUAUUUAUAAAUAAACCAAAUAUUCCAAAGACACCAUUGCCUGCAAUGAUCUCUCCUCCAGAGGAACCCGAAUGCACCCAGAAGCCAAAUGCACCCCUGAACUUCUUACCACUCAGGCAACAGAAGGAGAAUGUGUAACCAUGUUGAUCAAGUCUGUCAAUCUAUUGUCUGUGGUUAUAGAUGGAUUUUAAGGAAAUGGCACAGCGGGGAAAUAGCUUGACUACCAAGCCAGAGGUCGCCAGUUUGAAUCCCCAACCAUGAAAUACCUAUGUUGGGCAGCAGCGAGGCACAGCUCCAAGAUCUUGACUUUUUUAGUACAUUGAUAUUGCAUCUUGAUAUGCUGUCUUAUGGGUUAGACUCAAUUAUGUUCAACACUUCAUGCAAAGUCCUGGCUUCCAGUUUGCUAAUCAGUGGGACUCUGUAAAUAUUUUAUCAUUUAGUAAGCCACCUCAAAGAAUAGGAGAGGCAGGCUAUAUUCAUCAGAAAAUAAAGGCAGUCUAAGGGGUUGGUUCCAAAGGUUUUCAUAGAUGCUGACAAAACACCUGCCAAUUGGGUUGAACUACUGCCCUCAGAUCUAUUACUGUUUACAGAGCCAUCACCAUUAAGCAGAAUCUGCCUUCUAUUUGUGACCAAUGAAAUCUGUGAGAUCAUGCUGAGAAUCUCUGCAUCUUGGCAGGUUUACCACAGGAAUUCAUCAUACAGUGACUAUUAUAGACCGGCUUCAAUGAGUGUGUUAUUUUCCCAUUUGAUAACACAUGGGUACUCAUAACUAUGAUAAAUGAGAAAAACACAUUCAUUUACAUGCUGAUUAUUCUUAUGUUCUGGGCUGAAAUCGCAAAGCAUCACUGCUCCUCUUAUCUUUGUUUUUCUUUCAAACACAGCAAAAUCAGGAAGAAUAGCAAGGCUGAUUAUAGCGGUGCUGUUACUGGCAGCAUGAAGGACAACUCAAUAGAUUUUGCAACAACAGUAAAUUCCAAUUGUGAAAAGAAAAAGGGAAAAGGAAACUGGUAAAGAAAUACAAUCACACAAUGGAAGGGUUUUUAAUCUAUUUUGAUGAUAUGGAGGCUUGUAGUCACACCAAAAUACUGAAACCUUAUUUUGAUCGACAUGUGUGUGGUGACACACCAAACCAAUAUGGCUUCCCGGUGUAUGUUAGGCAUGCUAGGCUGUUGAAAGAAAGGUUGCAUCCGUCAUGCAUUAAACAGAAUCUGUCUGCUUCCUAAUUUUUUUUUAAAAGCUUGUAAUAUUUGUAUAACAGAUAUAGAAAUACAGUUGUGUUGUAGCCAUCGUGAAUGCAACCUUUAAUCAGGAGAAAAAUAACUUCUCAGCAUUUUAAGGUAAUUUCUCUGGACUGUCUCAGUUUUAUGUAUUUUGUACUGACUCAUUACAAUUAACACCUUAAGUGUAAUAACACUAGUAUCUUGCAUUUAUUAGCGGGGGCUUCACACAUAAUGGCAGCAAGUCCAGUUCUAAUGGAACUCAGUCUGGAGCUAAUAGAAUUCAGUGGCAAGUGGUGAUGGAGAAGGGCUUGAACAAAAAGAGAGGGAAAUUUCUCAGCUUGAAGAAUACUCUCUCAAGAUAGUCACAACUCCUUCUGCUCCUGAGGGGGGAAAGUGUUUAAAACACUUUAGUUUUCUCACCAACUAUUUCACACUUUUGUAUUUUUGAGGGGGUAGGGGAUGGGGUUUGACAAAUUUAAGCUCUUUUUGUGGUGGGUAAACCCUCCCACCAAAUAACGUAAAGACAACUGUAUGUGUGUGUGUGAACUCUCCUGUGGAAGAGGGCACCGUGCACUGAAUUGGUUAAUCUGCUGAUCAAUAUAUGUAUGCACGCACACACAGAGUCACACAAUAAACAGCAUUCACCAUUAUAUAUAACUUAUUUCACUAUCCCUUUCCUUCCCUACAACAUCAGCAAAUAUUGAUGAAAACCUUAAGUUGGUCUCUCAUCAGCCAUGAACUUUUGAAACUUUAUAGCUGGAUGAAAGAACCCAGGACUGAACACCAGUCCCCGCAUCAAAAAAUACCCUAGAAAAUGGGGGUGGGGGUGGUUGCAAGUAAUAUUUUGCAUAUUUAUUUUUGUUUUAUUUUAACAUUCAUAUCCUGCUCUUCCUCCAGGAGGCCAGAGUGCUGUUGAUUAUUUAUCCUCACACCACCAUGUGAAGUAGGUUUGGCUGAGUGACGGGCUCAGAGUCAGCCAGUGAGAUUCAUGCCUGAGUAGGGAUUUGAACUCGGGUCUUCCCAGCCUAGUCCAAUUGCUACACUGUGCACUUUGUCAUUGUUGCUAACAUUUAUUUUUAUACCAUGCUCAGCCACAGGCGCUCAAGUUGCACAUGCACACCAUGGAUGUUCUGCAACAUUUUGUUGCAGGUUCCUACUUGUAACUAUUUAAC